CCCGCCCUGGGUUUUCUGUGGAGGUUCCUUCAAGAGAUCAGGCAUGGGGAGCUGUGUGAUGGGCUGCAGGGCCUAACGGGUGCAGCCAAGUGUCCUCAAACUGGUCAUUGCUGUAUUGGACAAGGUGCGGGUCUAACUGAUCCAGCUCCUGCGGGUUGGAGGCAGCGUUCCUACAGGUGUCGGCUGUGGUUGCAUGCAGGAGCUUCAGCUGCCUCAGUGUCUCCAGGAUUCGCUUAGCACAGCUGAAACACACAAGGGACAGUUGGAGCAAGACGAGAGAGGGUGUUGUAGAAUGACCCAGAGAGAACACUACGACUCAGGCGCACGUCGCGGUCCAGGCUGGCGGUGAUGACGAGCUGGAAGCGCUCCACAUACUCGACACUGACGACGCCCUUCA